UACAGGGGGUGCAAACGUUGCUCGGAAUCAUUGGGCGUAAAGCGCACGUAGGCGGUUCAUUAUGUCGGAUGUGAAAGCCCUUGGCUUAACCGAGGAAGUGCAUCCGAAACUGGCGAGCUAGAGUACGAAAGAGGAUCGCGGAAUUCCCGGUGUAGAGGUGAAAUUCGUAGAUAUCGGGAGGAACACCGGUGGCGAAGGCGGCGAUCUGGGUCGAUACUGACACUGAGGCGCGAAAGCGUGGGGAGCGAACAGG
rnacentral:rRNA from 1 species